AAGAUUGCCUCAGCAUUUCCCAGUGAAGGUGUCUGUAUUGUUGUCCCUGUUUUGUGUUCCACUGCAAAUAAGGAACUUAAUCUGAAGAUAAUUCAAUCCAGCACUGCGUCUCGGAGCUCUAGCGACAGGCGUGAAAUUGUUUUAUCUUUUUUGUUCUUGGUGCGCGGCGCUGAUUGGGUGAGCAUGCAGACCAUCUGCUGCCGAGAACCAUACAGUGGCUUGAGUUGGAAGGGACCCUUAAAGGCCAUCUAGUCCUAGGCCUUGGUUGUCCCCGGAGAUGGACAGACCAUCCACCACAUUUCUGGAUGACUUGUUCCAGAUGUGUAGAACAUUUAACAGGAUUUGAAUCUAACUCCUACUGCUGUGAUGUUCUUCUUACUUCAUACCUUCAGUCUUAGGAAUUAUUCUUUCCUAAAAGAAAAGGGCUUGAGAUUUUAUUCACAUCUGACCUCAUCCCAACAUGUCUUUUGGAUGUUUGUUCUCAUACUUCCUCUUGGAUAUCUUGCAGAAACUCAGCUUGGGGAAAUUCAAUUCUGGUUCUUCAUCUCCUCUGUGGUUCUCCUUGCUCUAAGAGGAGAAUGUGCAUUUAUGUGCAUAGGUAUAUACAGGUUCUUUUCUGUUUUUGUAUUUCUGUAUAAAAUCCACUUCCAAUUUCAACAUCCAGGACACAUGUUACACAUUUUGCAUGGAAUUCCUUUGUAUGAUAACACCUCCCUCUCUGAUAUUUUGCUCUCUGGUGAUUAUGAUGAGUGCUAUCUUCCAUGUUAUUAAAUGACAACAUGAGCAUAUGCUGACUUGCCACUGUAGCAAACAGUGACUUGUAGCUCUCUUGAAAAUUCACAUGCUUUUUAUUGCUCCUUGAGAAAAUAGCACACAUCACUGCUGCGGUUCUGGUCGUUUUCCUGAUUGCCGGAGGAUUUCCCCUCUAUUACCUCUGCAUUUUCUGUGUUGCCAGGUGUGAAAUGAACAGAAUCAUAAAGUCAGGCUGGUUUGGAGGAAAAAAAACAGCAGCACAGCCUGCACUGAUGGGAUAAGAGCAUACAGAGAGUGGAAAAAUGCUGGGAGCUAUUGGCAAUUCAACACAGGUGAUAGAUGGUACAGUGCAAAAGAUAUACUUACAAAUUAUUGCAAUUAGAAGAGCACGUAAUAUAUAUUACUGACUCAGGAAAAUAUUUCAUCUUGUCCUUAAAUAUAUGCUGAAACCCUCCUGAGGGCAAUAGGGCUGCUACACUUACUUAAAAGCAAACUAUAUUGAUUUUAAACAUCAAUACUUCCCUAAAAAUGAACGGGACUGAUCUGUUUGCUAGUUGCAUUGGGGGUUUCAGCAGAUAGAUGACAGUAUCCUCGAUUCAAUUCCCAGUAAAACCUGUAAGAUAUUUUGAAAUGUUGCCCUUGAGUUGAAUAGCAGCUGUGUCCUUAGAUGUAGCGGUGAGAAUGGGUUUUAAAACCAGUUUCCAGACUUAAUGAAUUCCAGAUUUAAUGAAUUGUGAGUGCUAUUAAUGCGAAUGGCCAGGCAGGUUGUGUGGGGAUUGUGAUCCAAAGAGUUUGAAAUGAUGAGAGACCAAUGAGCUGGGGAACUGUGCAGCUUCAGCCCUAGUGCUGCGUUAGGGACCGCUGUACACCUGGGCUGAAAAUUCCCUCAGGGCCUGAUCAAAAUUGUUCCAGGCACAGGUUGGCUGCAUUUGAGGCCAAAAGGAUAAAAACGGCCAACGGCCCAGGAGGGGGAGGGCAGUGGGAGGUGUUCUUGUGCCUUAAUAACCAUGUGCAGCAACACCUGUGUGCCAACCCCACCUGCUUGCAUGGGCUCCUACAGUUCUGCUUGGGGGCAGUUCAUUCUACACAGUCUUUCUUGAACUUCUGGAGGCACAGGACUUGUGAACAGCAAGGUGAGUAUUAUGUUUGGGUUGGCUUCUUCUGUUCUUAUUACCUUUUCUAUGAAUAAUAUUUAUUUUGGACAAGAUGCAAAUGUUUGACAUUAAUUAUAAGCAUCUAGAGUAAAAUAACAGGAUUUGUUAAGGUGUUUGUUAGUGGUGGUUUUCUUCUGUGAGCUAUGAAGUGUUAACAGGGAACCAACGUUUAAUUAUAUCCAUUCUGUUAUAUUACAUCUGAGGAAAAGAUUAUAUCCAUUUUGAUCUAUCUUAUCUGAGGAAAAGAAUAAAUACCAGAAGCUUAUCAAUAAGUGAGUUGGUCAAGGAGGAUGAGAAACAAUUAUCAGUAAACAUUUGUUGUGUUUUGGAGGGUGUCUGAACUUUUUUCGUCUUCUCAUGAGGAAAGAGAUGAUUUUCUGUUUGUGAGGUCUGGAAUAGGCUGUUAUACAACGCGUUGUCCUACUGGAAGGAUGAGUGGAGGACGAAGGGCUCUGCAGGCUAAUGGUAGGCACGUGGAGGAACAGUUUGAGCCUUUUGUUGUACUUAAUGCGUUUCUGCAUUUGAAUUCAUUUUAACUUAACGUCUUUGAUCCUUCGGCUGUCGGUAUGAUACUGUGUUGUAGGUUUUGCUGGUGCCUUAUUGUCCUUCAGAUGGACGCAGAGCUGCUAUUCACCUUUUCGCCCUUUAGGUUUUUGUUUUCCUGAUGAUGUUAGUUGCGAAUUGGCCUUAAUGGGCUCUUGUGAAGCUGUGGUCUGGUUUAACGUGGGUUUCAGUCAGCCGACAUUGCUCCAGUGACUUCGUUAGAGCACAGGCCGCCAUUUGGCAAGCACGUAGACGAGCCGCCAUCUCCAUCGCCCCCCGGGCAAGGCGCCUUGAUGCCCGCAGAUGCAGGGCUGCUCAGUAACAGAAGGCUCACCUUCGUAUCUGCUGAGCACCGUGAUGAAUAUGCUUUUAAAUGUCUUUUGGAGCGUGUUUGGAGUCUAAAUACUGCCUACCAACUAUGGAGAGAAAUGUUGUUAGUUUGGUCUUAGUUGUUUUGGUUUUUUUUUCUUUUUUUUUUUUCCCCUUGCAAAAUGCUCCUCUGUUGUUGGAAACAGGUGGAAGCUGCUCCACAGCAAAAUGAGGCGAAGCACAACGCCUGUACUGAUCAGGUGUAGAAAGGAAUGUGCUGAGUGCCGUAGGGCUGCUACCCUGCCAAGGCAAAGUCUGCUUUUGCACGUACAUGCAGCUCUGAUGGGUGCCCCCUCCACAACUACCUAUUUACAUAGAACAAUCAGAAUAAUUACUUUAUUUUGGGGCGGAAGGCAAAAGCAGAGGGUUCGGUGAGGCUGGUUAGCUUUUGUCACCGAAUGAAAGCCCCGUGCUGAGUCAUCUGCUGGCCAUGUAGAAGUGAUAAGCACCCUUUAAAAAAAAAAAUAAAGAAAAACUAAACCCGAUAAAAGCAAAACUGUUUUUGCAGUCUUAUAACCCGUUCUCACAUCAUUUUAUCUAAACAGAAAGCCAGGCAGCGUGUUUGUUAUGCUUUUCGCAGGGCUGUGUUUAGCCAAUGGAUCAAUCACAGCUCUUUGCUGCACCUCGAGCUGGCGCUGCAUGGUGCUCUCCCCGUGCCCCGGCUGCAGCUUAGCAGCGUUCAGCUGUUGCAGAGCGAUGGGCGGGGGGGACGUGCCUCGUUUAAGCCGUGCUGUCAGAAUGCAGCAGCGGUGUGGGGCUUGUAAUAUCAUUGUAGUGCUGUGGGAGCGUUAUUUGCUUUUCAGGUGCUCCGCUGCUUCAAGAAAGUGUUUCAUUUCCUCAGUCAAUUACCAUAAGUAGAGAAGAAUGUGCUUUCUUGAUUGUGUUCUUCUCGUGUAGUGUGUUGCUCAGAGGUGGAAACGUACGUGUGCUCUGAUAGAUACAGUUGUUCCAUCUGUUCGUAUUUUAUGUAUAUUCUAAUCAGUUUAAAAAAAUGCACUUUUUUGGGGUUAAUGAGCUUAAAUAUGAAAUCUGCUUCUGUUAUGCUAUUGUAGUAUGUGAGUUUUGUAUCUAAGCUGAGACUGACUUGGGUGAAAACUAGUCACCAAAAAAAGUCCUUUUUAAACAACACUUGGGUAGAGCUGCUCUGCAGUAAAGCACUGCUGUUUGUAACUGGAGGGUAUCAAUGCACUGUACUAUCUUGCUGAUCGAAGGGAUAUUUAAUGCCCAUCAGUAGGAAUACCUGGAUAAUACACUCCACUUCGAAGAGCAAGAUGUAGCAUGUUAUUUUAGGUGGUGUUUCUUUUUUUCC